CAUGCAAGUCGAACGAGGAUAUAUCCUUCGGGGUAUAAGCCGAGUGGCGCAAGGGUGAGUAAUGCAUAGAUUACCUGCCUCUAGGAUAAGGACAACUUUGUGAAAACGAAGCUAAUACUUAAUAAUACAAAAGAAAAUAAUUUUCUUUUGUCAAUGGGAGGGUAGCAAUACCUUUUGCCUAGAGAGGGGUUUAUGUCCUAUCAGCUUGUUGGUGGGGUAAUGGCCUACCAAGGCGAAGACGGGUAGCCGGUCUUAGAGGAUGGUCGGCCACACUGGGACUGAGACACUGCCCAGACUUCUACGGAAGGCUGCAGUCGAGAAUCUUUCGCAAUGCCCGAAAGGGUGACGAAGCGACGCCGCGUGAGUGAGGAAGGCCUUAGGGUUGUAAAGCUCUGUCAGGAGUUAAGAAAUAUAAGUGUGUUAAUACCACAUUUAUUUGACGAAGGCUCCAAAGGAAGCCACGGCUAACUCUGUGCCAGCAGCCGCGGUAAUACAGAGGUGGCAAGCGUUGUUCGGAAUUAUUGGGCGUAAAGAGCACGUAGGUGGGUUUGUAAGUCAGAUGUGAAAGCCUUCUGUUCAACGGAAGAAUUGCAUCUGAAACUGCAAGUCUUGAGUGUAGGAGGAGAGAAUGGAACUUCUGGUGGAGCGGUGAAAUGCGUAGAUAUCAGAAGGAACGCCGGCGGCGAAAGCGAUUCUCUGGCCUAUUACUGACACUCAGUGUGCGAAAGCUAGGGGAGCAAACGGGAUUAGAUACCCCGGUAGUCCUAGCCGUAAACGAUGGGCACUAAGUAGAGGGGAUUACCGAUGUUCUCUCUGCCGUAGCUAACGCAUUAAGUGCCCCGCCUGGGGAGUACGGCCGCAAGGCUAAAACUCAAAAGAAUUGACGGGGGCUCGCACAAGCGGUGGAGCAUGUGGCUUAAUUCGAUGCAACGCGAAAAACCUUACCGGGGCUUGACAUGGUAGAAGUAGGAACCCGAAAGGGUAACGAACGGUAUCCAGUCCGUAGCUAUCACAGGUGUUGCAUGGCUGUCGUCAGCUCGUGUCGUGAGACGUUGGGUUAAGUCCCCUAACGAGCGAAACCCUUGUUUUUAGUUACCAGCGGGUUAUGCCGGGUACUCUAGAAAGACUGCCGUCGUCAAGACGGAGGAAGGUGGGGAUGACGUCAAGUCAUCAUGGCCCUUAUGCCCCGGGCUGCACACGUGCUACAAUGGUCGGUACAAACGGAAGCGAAGCCGAGAGGUGAAGCGAAUCCUAAAAAGCCGAUCUCAGUUCGGAUUGGAGGCUGAAAUUCGCCUCCAUGAAGUUGGAAUCGCUAGUAAUUGCGGAUCAGCAAUGCCGCGGUGAAUAUGUUCCCGAGCCUUGUACACACCGCCCGUCAAGCCACCCAAGCAGGAUGCACCCGAAAACAUUAUAUCUAACCAGGGCAACUUGGAGGAAAGUGUUGAAGGAGUGUUUUGUGAGGAGGACUAAGUCGUAACAAGGUAGUCGUAGGAGAACCUGCGGCUGGAUCACCUCCUUU
rnacentral:rRNA from 1 species